rnacentral:rRNA from 1 species
GACGAACGCUGGCGGCGUGCCUAAUACAUGCAAGUAGAACGCACAGUUUAUACCGUAGCUUGCUACACCAUAAACUGUGAGGUGCGAACGGGUGAGUAACGCGUAGGUAACCUGCCUGGGAUCGUGGGAUAACUAUUGGAAACAAUAGCUAAUACCUCAUGAUAUUGAUUGUUGCAUGAUAAUUGAUUGAAAUAUGCUAUUUCAUCACUACCACAUGGACCUGGGUUGUAUUAGCUAGUAGGGGAGGUAACGGCUUACCUAGGCGACGAUACAUAUCCGACCUGAGAGGGUGAUCGGCCACACUGGGACUGAGACACGGCCCAGACUCCUACGGGAGGCAGCAGUAGGGAAUCUUCGGCAAUGGACGAAAGUCUGACAGAGCAACGCCGCGUGAGUGAAGAAGGUGUUCGGAUCGUAAAGCUCUGUUGUAAGAGAAGAACGGGUGUGAGAGUAGAAAGGCCACUCUGGACGGUAAUGUUACAAGAAACGGACGGUAACUUCGUU